CCUACGUGGCUGCAGUGAGGAAUAUUGGUCAAUGGGCGGGAGCCUGAACCAGCCAAGUCGCGUGAGGGAAGACGGUCCUAUGGAUUGUAAACCUCUUUUGUCGGGGAGCAAAGUCACCCACGUGUGGGUGUUGGAGAGUACCUGAAGAAAACGCAUCGGCUAACUCCGUGCCAGCAGCCGCGGUAAUACGGAGGAUGCGAGCGUUAUCCGGAUGUAUUGGGUUUAAAGGGUGCGUAGGCGGGUUAUCAAGUCAGCGGUAAAAUCGUGGAGCUCAACUCCAUCCAGCCGUUGAAACUGAUGAUCUGGAGUGGGCGAGAAGUAUGCGGAAUGCGUGGUGUAGCGGUGAAAGGCAUAGAUAUCACGCAGAACUCCGAUUGCGAAGGCAGCAUACCGGCGCCCGACUGACGCUGAAGCACGAAAGCGUGGGUAUCGAACAGGAUUAGAUACCCUUGUAGUC
rnacentral:rRNA from 1 species